AUUUCUUUGGGCCGCUCCCGCAGCACAUGGAGGUUCCCAGGCUAGGGGUCGAAUCAGAGCUGUAGCCACUGGCCUACGCCAGAGCCACAGCAACUCGGGAUCCGAGCCGCGUCUGCAACCUACACCACAGCUCACGGAAACGCCGGAUCGUUAACCCACUGAGCAAGGGCAGGGACCGAACCCGCAACCUCAUGGUUCCUAGUCGGAUUCGUUAACCACUGCGCCACUACGGGAACUCCUACAAUAGAUUUCUAAGAAGAUUUGUUACAUUCUGAAAAUUUUUAUGCAAUGUUAUAUUGUAUUCUAAGAAUCCAAUACAUCUCUGAUAUAUAGUUGAAGGUGUGUGGCUCAGAAAGAAGGAAAUUGUUUCAGCUACAAAGAAAUGUGUAUUAAGUGCAUCAGGCUUCAUAAUUAAUGAUGAGGUCUUUGAUAAAAGAUUAAAAUGGUAUUAAUUUCCAAGAUAUUUUCUGGGCUUAAAAAUAUUUGAAUGUAUAGAUGAUUUAAAAUUACUUAAAAAUUACCUAAAAAUGACAAUUUCUCAGUUAAAUUAUAUGAAGUGGCUAAAAUAAGAACUAGGAGAAGAGGAAGAAUACAAGUUAAAAGAUGGUAUCUUGGGUUUGAAGGAACAGAUAUGCUGUCAUGAAUCGGGAUUGUAGUUGUUUAAAAACAUAAAUAUGUAACAUAUAGUAUAAGUGAUAAUAUAAAGUCAAUAUACAUUAAAACUAUGUAUUUCAUCAUAAGACAAGAAAUCUUAUUUUAUUUUAUUAUUUUUAAGAUAAUGUUUUUAUUUAUUAUUAUUAUUACUACUUUUUGUCUUUUUAGGGCCACACCCAUGGCAUAUGGAGGUUCCCAGGCUAGGGGUCCAAUUGGAGCUGUAGCCAUUGGCUUACGCCACAGACACAGCAACCCCAGAUCUGAGCUGUGUCUGUGACCUAAACCAUAGCUCAUAGCAAUGCUGGAUCCUUAACUCACUGAGCAAGGAAGGGUUCAAAUGCAUCUUCAUGGAUGCUAGUCGGGUUUGUUAACUGCUGAGCCAUGACAGGAACUGCAAGAAACAUUUUUAUUUAUUCAUUUUUCUUUUUUUUUUUUGCCACCCAGCAGCAUAUGGAGUUUCUAGGCCAGAGAUGAGAUCCAAGCUGCAGUAGCAAAAUACACCAGAGACAUGGAAUCCACUGUGCCAGGCCAAGAAUCGAAACUGCAUCCUUGGUACUGCAAAGACCCCACUGAUCCUAUUGCACUACAGUGGGAAUUCCAGCCAAGAAAUCUUUACACAUGAGACUAACUUAACUCAGAGUUGGUUAAUAAAACAAAAUUUAAUAAUUUGAAAUAUAUGUGCUCAAGUAUUUAAUCUAUUAUUUUUAAGAGUUUUUAAAGACAUGGCAUUGAGACCACAGAUCUCAAAUCUUCUGAAAAGAACCUCUCUUAGCCAUGGGGACCCGCUACAUCAAUAAUCUUCAACUAGUUGGAAAUAUUUUUAAUAAGCCUUUACAAUUUAUUAAGAGCUAAAAGUUCUUUUGGAAUCCAAAAACAUAAUUAAGGUACCAAUAAAUAUAAAACAAUCUGCUAUUAGAGAGGGUUAUACUUCCUACUCUUUUGGAUCCUAAGAGCAUAUACUUAAAUUAACACUAUGAAUCCUGAUGGAUAAGUAUAAUGUUAAAAUAAUUUUUUUAUUCACCUUUGAGUAGGUUGAGUGACACUGAAUUUUUCAUGACUUGAUGGUUUUAUGUAAUAGAAAAGCAUAAUUUCUCUUCAGGAAUCAGAGAUUUAUAUGGAAUUAGGAAAUGUCUACUCCAAUAUAAUGCACACACUAAAGUACUACCACUCAUACUGAGGUAUACGGAAUGAUUGGCCCACAUUAUAUCACAGGGAAUCCUACCUAGUAUUCUGUGAAAAUCUGUGUGGGAAAAGAUUCUGAGAGAAAAUGGAUAUGUAUGACUAGGUCACUUUUCUGUACAGAAGAAAUUAUAUGCAACUUUAUAAAUGAACUACAUUUAAGUUUUAAAACUUAAAAAAAUAAAAUAUUGCCUUUCAAACUCCAAUAUGCAUUCAAAUCACCUGGAAAUUUGCUAAAAUGCAGAUUCUGGCUCUGUAGGUAUGAGGAGUCCACAGUUCUAACAAGUUCCUAGGUAAUGAAGAUGCUUCUGGUUCAUGGGUAGACUGCAUUUUUAGUAGCCAAGCCUUAAAUAGAAUUAGUUAGGUUUUAAUAAUCUACCUCGAGGGGAAAAGAAGAGGAUGAAUGAAGGGGAGAGAAAAGGGAAAGUUAUUUUCCUCUGGUAAAAGAUCAACUAUAUGAUAACUCUAACUAAUGCAUAAUAAUAAUUAGUAUAUUUAUGUUUAUUUUAUACCAUAUGCAUCAAAGCUGCAACUCCAAAAUGGAUGUGGGUCCAAAUGCUUUCAACGUUUUUCCUCUAAACUUUUCAAUACAGAUGCAGCAAGCAUCUGUCUUUUCUGUACUACGUUUCAAAUCUAAGCUAUCCCCUACAGGCAUCAAAGCUGAACAUGAUGGUCAUGCUGUUCCAUGCAGCCCUGAAAGACAAACAAAAGAACAAACACACCCCAACGACUUAAAACCUGGAGCCAAGGGAGCUCUCCAGGUUGCCAAAUGCCUCUCUGAUCCUCCCAGUAAAUAUAAAAGCUGCUUUCUUCAAGAACUGAAAACAAUCAUAACUGUCUUGUUGAACCUCUGGGGACAGAGGAAAGAUAGAAUAUAGAAACCUGCACCAAAGUGUCCACAGACGGAUUUGAUUUACACAGUAUGGUCUGCUACAACCUGUAAAGAUUAGAUAAUGGGUUUCCUUAGAUAAAGUUCUGUUUCUAGCAGAAGGCCUUCUAACAUCUUUAAAUGGUUUGUCUAUAAAAUUCUCUUUUCCUAAAGCACAACUGAUCAAAAAAUGCUCUCUUGUUGAAUUGCAUCACAGUUUUUGUACAACUUUAUAUAUGAAUACACAUAAUCAUCACCAUAUGUAUAUGCCUAUAGAUUACAAUAAAAUUCAUAAAUCACAUCCGUUUUCAUUUUAUUGGUAUAGGCUAAGGGAAAAUGGAACUAUAUCCAGAAUACAGUGAUUUCAAAGCCCAUGUUCUUAAGUUGAGCUAGUCAAUUUCAAGAGUAAAAUCUAAAUUGUAAAAAUUUCAUAAGAAAUCUUGGCAUUAAGAUUAUAUGCAGUUUAUAUGCUAUGAUUUACUAAUGAGGUCUAAUUUUAGCUGAAGUGGAAAAAAACUGUGCCUUAUACUUAGCAUACCAUUUAUAUGCAUCUAUGUGAGAUUUCUGAUUUUACUGAUAAUAAUUAUGUUGAUAAUUUAUUGGAUUUAGUCAAUCUGUUGUGAGGGCAAAGCUACACUAGUAUUAUUAUAAAAGACAUUAUUUUAUGUCAUAAAUAUUCUGCCUUCCCAUUCUUAUCUUCUAAGUUUUUUUAUAGAUCUCUUUGAAACUAAAAAAUGUGAAACAAAUGUUGCUUUUUAAAAUAAAGUUCUGGAAAUUUAUUUUUGACAAUGCUGUUGCUUAUGAAAUCCCAAGAAAUUUCAUUAAAAUUCCUCAUGUGAUCCUGUAUGGUAACACUAAUUCUAUUUUUAUAACAUAAAAUAAUUCUCUACUAAUUUCAGCAAAUUAUUUACCUAUAAUGAAACUUAUUUUCUUUAAUGAAAUACUUGUAAUCACAUUUUAAAAGUGGAAAAAGUAAUAAUUUGUCCUGGAAUUCUUUGACUUUUUUGGCAAACAAGUAUCUGGGAAAUUGGCUUUACCUUUUCACUUUAACAGUAUCUUUCACUGUAUGGGAAUAAUUCUGUCUAAAAUAUACCAAAAAAUAAUAAAUCUUAUUUAAAAACAUUUACUUAUAGUAAAGUUUUGGAUUUAAUCACUCAUUAUUUUUCUAAUUUAAUUUUAUUGGAGUAUAGUUGAUUUACAAUGUUGUUUUAUUUCAGGUGUACAGCAAGUAAAUCAGUCAUACAAAUACAUAUAUUCAUUCUUUCUUCCCAUUAGAUUGUUAUAAACUGUUGAGUAGAUUUUCCUGUGCUAUAUGGGAAGUUAUUAUUAAUCAUCUAUUUUAUACAGUAGUGUAUUUAUAUUAUUCAGACCUUCCCAAUUCUUCCCUCCCCUGAAUGGUUUCACCUAUGUUAACCGUAAGAUUGAUCACUCAUUAUUAAUUGUGCAUUCUUUAUGUUUCUUUCUUUUUUUUCAUUUUUUAAGGCCGCACCUGUGGCAUAUGGAAGUUCUCAGGCUAAGGGUCGAAUCGGAGCUGCAGCUGCUGGCCUUUGCCACAGCCACAACAGUGCCAUAUCUGAAUUGCAUCUUCAACUUAAGCAACGCAGGAGAAUUCUUAACCCACUGAGUGAGGCCAGGUACCAAACCUGCAUCUUCAUAGACACUGGUCGAGUUUGUAACCUCCUGAGCCACAAAAGGAACUCCU
rnacentral:lncRNA from 1 species